UACGUAGGGUGCAGGCGUUAAUCGGAAUUACUGGGCGUAAAGCGUGCGCAGGCGGUUUGCUAAGACAGAUGUGAAAUCCCCGGGCUCAACCUGGGAACUGCAUUUGUGACUGUAGAGCUGGAGUACGGCAGAGGGGGAUGGAAUUCCGCGUGUAGCAGUGAAAUGCGUAGAUAUGCGGAGGAACACCGAUGGCGAAGGCAAUCCCCUGGGCCUGUACUGACGCUCAUGCACGAAAGCGUGGGGAGCAAACAGG
rnacentral:rRNA from 1 species